ACUCUGGUACAUUGAUUCCAUCCCAGCCACUACACUGAGCCCGUCUUCCUAUAGCUCCUACUACCAGCCUCCACUGCUUAGUCGUAUGUCUCCAUUUUAGAAAAACAAGAAAGGAAAGAAGGGCAGUAAGAAGAAGAAGAAGAAAGAGAAGGAUCUGACUGCCGACAGAACCCUUGAGUCUCUGUAUGAAGAGCUGGUGCUGGAAGGCUUCUUGAUUAGACCCUUGAACAUCAAGCUCUCUGAGUACAUUGCUACUGGGCUGAAGCUAAACCAGGGAUCCUAAUGGUAAUAGAAUACAACUCACUGAUGUUCACCCCAACCCUGAAGGGACAUGAUCUUUCUCCUCAACACGUCUCAUGUCACCUGGCGUUAAGACCCAUUUCCAUCCCACCCCCCUACGCCAGCGUUGUGGACCCCCAGAUGGAGCUCCUGAAGAGGGGAGGGUUACUGAACAAACAGGCCACCCACCCUGGAGAAGAAGAGGAUAUCUUUCAGCACCUCAGACCUAAUCAAAGGCAAUAUGACUACCAGAGGCCUGGAUGGGCUGGUGUGGAUGUCCAUCACCACCACCACCUCCUUCGUCACUAGCACCACCAUCACCACCACCACCACAGCC